rfam:Oryza meridionalis cultivar OR44 (W2112) chromosome 8, whole genome shotgun sequence.
AAUAAGUAUAUUUUUACACUGUUCAUAUCUCACGUUUAACCAUUCGUCUUAUUUGUAAUUUUUUACGAUUAAUAUUUUUAUUUUAUUGUUAUUAGAUGAUAAAACAUGAACAGUAUUUUAUGUGUGACUAACUUAUUUUAAUUUUCCCAUAAAUUUUUCAAAUAAGACGGAUGGUUAAAUGUUGGACACGGAUUUCCAUAGCUGUAUUUAUU